UACGUAGGGUGCAAGCGUUGUCCGGAAUUAUUGGGCGUAAAGCGCGCGCAGGCGGUCCUUUAAGUCUGAUGUGAAAGCCCACGGCUCAACCGUGGAGGGUCAUUGGAAACUGGGAGACUUGAGUGCAGAAGAGGAAAGUGGAAUUCCAUGUGUAGCGGUGAAAUGCGUAGAGAUAUGGAGGAACACCAGUGGCGAAGGCGACUUUCUGGUCUGUAACUGACACUGAGGCGCGAAAGCGUGGGGAGCAAACAGG
rnacentral:rRNA from 1 species